AUUGAACGCUGGCGGCAGGCCUAACACAUGCAAGUCGAAUGGUAACAGGAAACAGCUUGCUGUUUCGCUGACGAGUGGCGGACGGGUGAGUAAUGUCUGGGAAACUGCCUGAUGGAGGGGGAUAACUACUGGAAACGGUAGCUAAUACCGCAUAACGUCGCAAGACCAAAGAGGGGGACCUUCGGGCCUCUUGCCAUCAGAUGUGCCCAGAUGGGAUUAGCUAGUAGGUGGGGUAACGGCCCACCUAGGCGACGAUCCCUAGCUGGUCUGAGAGGAUGACCAGCCACACUGGAACUGAGACACGGUCCAGACUCCUACGGGAGGCAGCAGUGGGGAAUAUUGCACAAUGGGCGCAAGCCUGAUGCAGCCAUGCCGCGUGUAUGAAGAAGGCCUUCGGGUUGUAAAGUACUUUCAGCGGGGAGGAAGGGAGUAAAGUUAAUACCUUUGCUCAUUGACGUUACCCGCAGAAGAAGCACCGGCUAACUCCGUG
rnacentral:rRNA from 1 species